UAUAUAUAUAUAUAUAUAUAUAUAUAUAUAUAUAUAUAUAUAUAUAUAUCCAGUUUUACAUAAAUAAAACUGUAUCCGUUGAAGUCUCUUGUGACCAGAAGAUGAUAAAAUUUUGAUUACCCAGGAAGUGGCUGGUAACAUAAAUCAAGUUAAUUUUCUUGGAAGACCAUUAAUGUUGCUUUAAAGUGUCCUCUAAAAUGCCAACCCUUAACCUUAACACAACUUGGUCCUGGCUUCUCCAUUUUAAUGGGAUUACAAAUUAGCCACUAGAAAUAAAAUUUUGUAUUAAUCUUUUUUUUUUGCUUAAGUACCACCUUGCAAAAAAGGAGUUUCUCGUUUUUAAUUUCUAUCCUCACAAUAUAUAUAUAUAUAUAUAUAUAUAUAUAUAUAUAUAUAUAUAUAUAUAUAUAUAUAUAUAUGCAAUGUUACCAAAAUAAAAAACACUUGAUUUUCUUCCUUCUGUGGGGAGGAUGAAACUAAUGCUUUUUUAACUAAAGGUAUGACAUGACCAGCCACCCUUGCUCCAACCUUAAGAGAGAACCUAGAGACCAAAUCCUACCAGACAAAAGAUCACCACUGCUGACAUCAAACAAGUUGAGAACAGAGAGGAAAGAAGCACAAAGGCCAAGUAUCUAAGCUGGCCUUUCUUAAAUGGCUUAGCUGACACCACUUGGACUUGUCUAAUAAUAGCAGAUUCUUGAUUAAUGCAGUUCCUGGUCCUCCUCUGUGAUGCUUACCCUUAUUGAAUGAAAAAGGUUAGCAGCACAUACACAAACACACUUAUUUCUUGAUUAGAAAGUGAAUUAUGUAGAUAGAGAUGGAAUGAGCAUACAGGUACAAUUAUGAAGGCUAAGAGGUUUCAUGACCCCCACCUACCCAACACUCAGAUCUUUGUGAGUAUGGUGAACAGGAACUCCAGGUACCAAAGUGCUGAAGAUUGGAAUUUUGAAGCAAGAAACAGAAUCAUGGAGCUCAAAAAGUUCAGCAUCAGCAACAAUGGAACAAGCUAAGCAGCAGGAAAAAAAGGCAGCGGUGCCUGAGCCUGAAUGGGGAAAUAGAAGAAACAUCCUCAUCACGACAAGUAGGCAUGCACUGGAACAUCUACUACCUUACAUGACAAAAUCCAAGAGAUGGAUGCUGCCUUCAAGGAGAGAACUAAGUUGUUACUGACAUGUUUGAAGAUUUCAGCAGAGUCUUGAGAGAAGUUAAUUCAUAGACAAGAUGGUUUCAGAGGAGAUGUAAGGGUGACAACGCACUCAACUCUGUUAUCAUCAACCAUCUUUUGGACUUUGAACAUCACUGCUGUGUACAUGUUCCCUCCAUUCCAUUCCUAUGCUGCAACCUUGAGAUCAGAGCUGUCUAUACUUGGCAGUAAUGAAUGUAGAGACUCACAUGUAAAGUAGGGGGAGUGCAUUAAGUUUGCUGCUUUGGAAAGAAAACAUAUUGUGGUUGAUACUUGUACAAUCCCUUGUUACAGUAAGAAAGCUUAAAGGGCUUUCUUCUCCUUUGGCAUAAGGUCAUGGCAUG